UGGCGUGUCAGUGUGUGAUAUGUGACCU
rnacentral:piRNA from 1 species